rnacentral:rRNA from 1 species
UGAGGGAUAUUGGUCAAUGGGCGCAGGCCUGAACCAGCGACGCCGCGUGGGUGAAGAAGGUCUUCGGAUCGUAAAGCCCUUUUCCCACUGAAGAGGAAGGACGGUAGGUGGGGAAGAAGUCUCGGCUAACUACGUGCCAGCAGCCGCGGUAAAACGUAGGAGACAAGCGUUAUCCGGAGUUACUGGGCGUAAAGGGCGUGCAGGUGGCGUCUUAAGUCUGUUGUGAAAGCGCCUGGCUUAACCGGGCGAGGCCAAUGGAGACUGAGAGGCUGGAGGACGGCGGAGGGGUGUGGAAUUCCGGGUGUAGUGGUGAAAUGCGUAGAUAUGCGGAGGAACACCGAUGGCGAAGGCAAUCCCCUGGGCCUGCACUGACGCUCAUGCACGAAAGCGUGGGGAGCAAACA